UUUGUACUCCCUUCGUCCCAAAAUUCUUGUCUUAAAUUUUUCUAAAUACGGAUGUAUCUAGUUACAUUUUGGUGUUAGAUACAUCCGUAUCUAAACAAAUGUAUGACAAGAAUUUUGGGACGGAGGGAAUACUAC
rnacentral:pre_miRNA from 1 species